rnacentral:rRNA from 1 species
AUUGAACGCUGGCGGAAUGCUUUACACAUGCAAGUCGAACGGCAGCACGGACUUCGGUCUGGUGGCGAGUGGCGAACGGGUGAGUAAUGUAUCGGAACGUGCCCAGUCGUGGGGGCUAACGUAGUGAAAAUUACGCUAAUACCGCAUACGAUCUAUGGAUGACAGCGGGGGAUCGCAAGACCUCGCGCGAUUGGAGCGGCCGAUAUCAGAUUAGGUAGUUGGUGGGGGAAAGGCCCACCAAGCCAACGAUCUGUAGUGGGUCUGAGAGGACGACCAGCCACACUGGAAAUGAGACACGGCCCAGACUCCUACGGGAGGCAGCAGUGGGGAAUUUUGGACAAUGGGCGAAAGCCUGAUCCAGCCAUUCCGCGUGCAGGAUGAAGGCCCUCGGGUUGUAAACUGCUUUUGUACAGAACGAAAAGGUUUCUACUAAUACUAGGAGCUCAUGACGGUACUGUAAGAAUAAGCACCGGCUAACUACGUGCCAGCAGCCGCCGUAA